GACGAACGCUGGCGGCGUGCCUACUACAUGCAAGUAGGACGCAGUUGCGAACGGGUGAGUAACGCGUAGGUAACUAUCUAAUAGAGGGGGAUAUCUCUUGGAAACGAUUGCUUAUACCGCAUACUCGUAGAUGGAUCUGCGUUGUAUUAGCUAGUAGGUAGGGUAAUGGCCUGCCUAGGCAACGAUACAUAUCCGACCUGAGAAGGGGGUCGGCCAAACGGGGAAUGAGACAAGGCCCAGACUCCUGAUGGAGGCAGGAGGAGGGGAACUUCGGCAAAGGGGGGAACCCUGACCGAGCAACGCCGCAGGAGUAAAGAAGGUUUUAGGAUCGGAAAGCUCUGUUGUUAAGGAAACGGUACUUGACCAGAAAGAAACGGCUUACUACGUGCCAGCAGCCGCGGUAAUAC
rnacentral:rRNA from 1 species